CCGCCCCCCUGCUGCUGCCUGUACAGGUGGUGCUCCACCAUAAACUGAAGCUCUGUGAGGAGAGACGUGGAGAUAAGAGAGGUGUGUGUCCAGAAGGGGAACGGUGAACUGUAUCUUCCUGGGGCUCCUGGUGUCCAUGGUGGCUCUGACUGUCACAGAGGAUGACUGGAUGAAGAAGAGGAGGAGGGAGAAUCCGUCAAGUAAAUGAGGUUGCCCUGCUGCUCGGCCCUGUGCCAGGACUUUGAUGUGAGGAUCUGGCUGUAAGAUCAUUUCUUUCCAAACCUCUGGGGCUCCGCCAUACUCCAG